rnacentral:rRNA from 1 species
AGAGUUUGAUCCUGGCUCAGGACGAACGCUGGCGGCGUGCUUAACACAUGCAAGUCGAACGGUGACGGAGGAGCUUGCUCCUCCUGAUCAGUGGCGAACGGGUGAGUAACACGUGAGUAACCUGCCCCAGACUCUGGAAUAACAGUUGGAAACAGCUGCUAAUACCGGAUACGAGACGGAGAGGCAUCUCUACCGUCUGGAAAGUUUUUCGGUCUGGGAUGGACUCGCGGCCUAUCAGCUUGUUGGUGAGGUAAUGGCUCACCAAGGCGACGACGGGUAGCCGGCCUGAGAGGGCGACCGGCCACACUGGGACUGAGACACGGCCCAGACUCCUACGGGAGGCAGCAGUGGGGAAUAUUGCACAAUGGGCGAAAGCCUGAUGCAGCAACGCCGCGUGAGGGAUGACGGCCUUCGGGUUGUAAACCUCUUUCAGUAGGGAAGAAGCGCAAGUGACGGUACCUACAGAAGAAGCACCGGCUAACUACGUGCCAGCAGCCGCGGUAAUACGUAGGGUGCGAGCGUUGUCCGGAAUUAUUGGGCGUAAAGAGCUUGUAGGCGGUUUGUCGCGUCUGCUGUGAAAAUCCGGGGCUCAACUCCGGACUUGCAGUGGGUACGGGCAGACUAGAGUGUGGUAGGGGAGACUGGAAUUCCUGGUGUAGCGGUGAAAUGCGCAGAUAUCAGGAGGAACACCGAUGGCGAAGGCAGGUCUCUGGGCCAUAACUGACGCUGAGAAGCGAAAGCGUGGGGAGCGAACAGGAUUAGAUACCCCGGUAGU